rnacentral:tRNA from 1 species
CAAGUCCCUCUAUCCCCAAAAAGACCAUUUGACUCCCUAAUUAUUUAUC